GACAGAGGGGGCAAGCGUUGUCCGGAGUUACUGGGCGUAAAGGGCGCGGAGGCGGUCUGCGGCGUCGGCGCUGAAAGCGCCCCGCUUAACGGGGCGAGGCGUGCCGAUACGCGCAGGCUCGAGGCGAGCAGAGGGUGGUGGAAUUCCGGGUGGAGCGGUGAAAUGCGUAGAGAACCGGAGGAACGCCAGUGGGGAAGCAGGCCACCUGGGCUCGACCUGCCGCUGCGGCGCGACAGCGUGGAGAGCAAACCCG
rnacentral:rRNA from 1 species